UAGGGAAUUGUUCGCAAUGGGCGCAAGCCUGACGACGCAACGCCGCGUGGAGGAUGAAGGGCUUCGGCUCGUAAACUCCUUUCGACCGAGAUGAAUACCCGCAGGGCCAAUACCCUUGCGGACUGACAGUAUCGAGGGAAGAAGCCCCGGCUAACUCUGUGCCAGCAGCCGCGGUAAUACAGAGGGCGCGAGCGUUGUCCGGAAUCGCUGGGCGUAAAGGGCGCGUAGGUGGCGGCGUAAGGCCGCGGUGAAAGUUCGGGGCUCAGCCCUGAAUCGGCCGCGGCGACUGCGUCGCUUGGGCACUGUAGAGGCAGAUGGAAUUCCGGGUGUAGCGGUGGAAUGCGUAGAGAUCCGGAAGAACACCGGUGGCGAAGGCGGUCUGCUGGGCAGUGGAGUCGCAAGGCUCCGUAGCCGACACUGAGGCGCGACAGCGUGGGGAGCAAA
rnacentral:rRNA from 1 species